rnacentral:rRNA from 1 species
AACGAACGCUGGCGGCAUGCCUAACACAUGCAAGUCGAACGAGAUCUUCGGGUCUAGUGGCGCACGGGUGCGUAACGCGUGGGAAUCUGCCCUUUGGUUCGGAAUAACAGUUGGAAACGACUGCUAAUACCAGAUGAUGACGAAAGUCCAAAGAUCUAUCGCCAGAGGAUGAGCCCGCGUAGGAUUAGCUAGUUGGUGUGGUAAAGGCGCACCAAGGCGACGAUCCUUAGCUGGUCUGAGAGGAUGAUCAGCCACACUGGGACUGAGACACGGCCCAGACUCCUACGGGAGGCAGCAGUGGGGAAUAUUGGACAAUGGGCGAAAGCCUGAUCCAGCAAUGCCGCGUGAGUGAUGAAGGCCUUAGGGUUGUAAAGCUCUUUUACCCGGGAUGAUAAUGACAGUACCGGGAGAAUAAGCUCCGGCUAACUCCGUGCCAGCCGCCGCAGUAA